rnacentral:rRNA from 1 species
UACGUAGGGGGGCAAGCGUUGUCCGGAAUCAUUGGGCGUAAAGCGCGUGUAGGCGGUCCGGUAAGUCCGCUGUGAAAGUCGGGGGCUCAACCCUCGGAUGCCGGUGGAUACUGUCUGGCUAGAGUCCGGAAGGGGCGAGUGGAAUUCCUGGUGUAGCGGUGAAAUGCGCAGAUAUCAGGAGGAACACCAAUGGCGAAGGCAGCUCGCUGGGACGUAACUGACGCUGAGACGCGAAAGCGUGGGGAGCAAACAGG